rnacentral:lncRNA from 10 species
GGAAAUCUCUGCAGUGGGGAAAAUGAGACAGGAAUAAUACAGGGUGGUCGCAGGAGAAUAGAAAAUUCCAGGCAGCAGUUUCACAUGACUAGCAAAAGGAAACUGUUAAAAUAGCUGCAGAAGCUACAGGCUGAUAAGACUGUGAAAAACCAGGGUGUGGACCAAGCUGGCUAAGACCGACUGGACAAAACAUGGCACUGGAAUUGAUCUAGUUUUCACCUAGGACCUCAUUAUAUGCUCAUUAACACAUUAAAUCACACACCCACCUAGCACCAUAUCAGUACGGGAACACCUAUAAUUGGUAUAAAAAUGGAUAUCAUCACAGUUCUGAGAUAUCCUCACCUUUUUUUCCAGGAUUCUUCCUGGCUAAAGAAACCCAUAAAAGUGGAAAACUCAAACUCCACAGUGCAAAUAUCUCUUGAGUCUGCCUGCACUACCCUUUCUUGAAUGUGUAUUGAUAAGACUGCAGUUGACAUUUUAAGAAAUUUAAAUUUCAACCUGAAGUCAAUAAGGACACCUCAGAAGUUUUCAAAGGAAGGAUGGAGUCUGUUGAAAAGAACCGGUUGGUAAAAUGAGAAAAAAUGGAUUGAAGGAGACCCAAGUGACCACCUGGUAAUUACUUCAACAGCAGAGCGACUCAUACAGCCGGCAGUCCACUUUGUUCUUCUAUAGAUCCUGCCUGUGGUGUUGGAUCUAACAGCUUCUUCCCUGACCCAAGAUUAUGAAGGAUUUCUCCUGUGUUCUCUUCUAAAAAUUUUACAUUUAGGUACAUAAUCCAUUUUGAGCUAAUUCUUUUAAAUAGUGCAAAGUAUGGAUUGAAGUUCUUUUUUUUUUUUUUUUUUGCAGAUACAUAUUUAAUUUUUCCAGCACCAUUUGUUGAAAAGACUAAUGUUCUUGCCUGAAUAGCCUUUGCAUUGUUGUUGAAAAUCAUGUUCACACAUGUACACAUUCCACUGAUCUAUUUGCCUCUUUGUGAAAAUACUACUAUUUUGAUUAAUAUAUAUUUAUAGGGAGUCUUAAAAUCAUAUCUUAAAAAGAUAGUGGAAGUUAUUUAACCUUACUCUUGCUUUUAGAAAUUGUUUUGGAUAUUCUAGAUCUUUUGUGUUUCCAUAUAAAUUUUAUAAUCAGUUUGGCAAUUUAUUUAAAAUAUUCUUCUGGGAUUUUGAUGGACAUUACACUGAAUCGAUGGAUCGCUUUGGGGACAACUGACAUCUUAACAAUAUUGAGUCAUCUAACAUAUGAUCAUGGAAAUUGCUCCAUUUAUUUAGAUCUUCUUUCACAUCUUGAAGCAGUGUUUUGCGUUUUCAGUGUAUAGGUAUUUAAUAGAUUUAAAAAUAUGAUCCCUAAAUAUUCAAUGUUUUUGAUGCUAUUGGAAUUUUAAAAAAUUAAUUUCUGUUCUGAGGAAGGAAAAUAAUAAAAGAUUAAACAAGAAAAAUAAAAAUAAUCAAAAUAAAAGAUAAAUCAUUGACAAAUAUAAUAAAAAAUAAAAUAAUAACAAAAAAUAUAAAAAAUUAAUUUCUUAUUUUUU